CAGCCGCCGCGGUAAUACGAAGGGUGCAAGCGUUAAUCGGAAUUACUGGGCGUAAAGCGUGCGUAGGCGGUGAGUUAAGUCUGCUGUGAAAUCCCCGGGCUCAACCUGGGAAUGGCAAUGGAUACUGGCAAACUAGAGUGUGUCAGAGGAUGGUGGAAUUCCCGGUGUAGCGGUGAAAUGCGUAGAGAUCGGGAGGAACAUCAGUGGCGAAGGCGGCCAUCUGGGACAACACUGACGCUGAGGCACGAAAGCGUGGGGAGCAAACAGGAUUAGAUACCCCCGUAGUCCCUGUCCUUAUACC
rnacentral:rRNA from 1 species